UAGCUCUGUCAUCUUAAAACGGUCCUUC
rnacentral:piRNA from 1 species